rnacentral:rRNA from 1 species
GAUGAACGCUGGCGGCGUGCCUAAUACAUGCAAGUCGAGCGAAUGGAUUAAGAGCUUGCUCUUAUGAAGUUAGCGGCGGACGGGUGAGUAACACGUGGGUAACCUGCCCAUAAGACUGGGAUAACUCCGGGAAACCGGGGCUAAUACCGGAUAACAUUUUGAACCGCAUGGUUCGAAAUUGAAAGGCGGCUUCGGCUGUCACUUAUGGAUGGACCCGCGUCGCAUUAGCUAGUUGGUGAGGUAACGGCUCACCAAGGCAACGAUGCGUAGCCGACCUGAGAGGGUGAUCGGCCACACUGGGACUGAGACACGGCCCAGACUCCUACGGGAGGCAGCAGUAGGGAAUCUUCCGCAAUGGACGAAAGUCUGACGGAGCGACGCCGCGUGAGCGAUGAAGGCUUUCGGGUCGUAAAACUCUGUUGUUAGGGAAGAACAAGUGCUAGUUGAAUAAGCUGGCACCUUGACGGUACCUAACCAGAAAGCCACGGCUAACUACGUGCCAGCCGCCGCCGUAA